CUUUUUCCUAAUCAUGCAUCAUAAAAGUUGUACAGCACGAGGGUCAAGAAAUUUCCUCAGUGAUGACAUCAGCCCUGCUAGAUCUCAGGAGCUGUGCUUGCAUGAAAGGGAAAUGAGGAACUCAGGUCUGCUAUCAAUAAUAUCUAUGAUGUCCACUAUGAGACCACAGGACCAGCUGAAACCCGCCAGAACCAAUAUGACCGACUGGAGCUCGCGCAAGGAUUUGCCGGGCCACGGGGUGAUCUUUUGACGUCACCGUCUGAACUUCCGCCCCAAGUUUCAUACUAACUCCCCCUAAAUUUUCACAUGCCACCCAUGAAGAGGCAACUGCACAUGGGCAAGGGACUUUCCAAACAUCCCCGUUCCCUGGCCAAUCACUAAUCUACCCUGAAACACUUUCCUCCAAAUCCUUCUUUUACAAAUAUGGCUUUCAAGCCAGUACAAGGAAGACAGUUUUGAGCCCAUCUCCUGUCACGUUGCUUGGCCGUUUUGCAAUAAACCUUUCUCUCUACAAAAAUCCCAGGCUUCAUGUUUACCUUUCCAUUGCUCACGGGUAAAUGGACCUGGUUUGGUUCUAUAACAAUCGUUUGGAUGAGAGAUUUGGUAAUGACAGGAAAGGAACUAGACUAAUCAUAAAAAGGAGUGGCAGAGUUGGGACAAUCACUGGAAGUCAGCAAAAAUAUUAGGGGAAAAUCAGUUGAUGUGGGGGGAAACUUAGGCGGAAAUCAGAUGAUAGCCUGCCAU
rnacentral:lncRNA from 1 species